rnacentral:rRNA from 1 species
GACGAACGCUGGCGGCGUGCUUAACACAUGCAAGUCGAACGGAAAGGCCCUGCUUUUGUGGGGUGCUCGAGUGGCGAACGGGUGAGUAGCACGUGAGUAACCUGCCCUUGACUUUGGGAUAACUUCAGGAAACUGGGGCUAAUACCGGAUAGGAGCUCCUGCUGCAUGGUGGGGGUUGGAAAGUCUCGGCGGGUGGGGAUGGACUCGCGGCUUAUCAGCUUGUUGGUGGGGUAGUGGCUUACCAAGGCUUUGACGGGUAGCCGGCCUGAGAGGGUGACCGGCCACAAUGGGACUGCGAGACGGCCCAGACUCCUACGGGAGGCAGCAGUGGGGAAUCUUGCACAAUGGGCGGAAGCCUGAUGCAGCAACGCCGCGUGCGUGAUGACGGCCUUCGGGUUGUAAACCGCUUUCGCCUGUGACGAAGCGUGAGUGACGGUAAUGGGUAAAGAAGCACCGGCUAACUACGUG